AUACGCAUUUUGCCUUCGAAAACCCCCCAUUUAACCUGAAACGAAGCAUUUCCUCUUCAAAAAAUCCCCAUUUAACCUGAAAAUAUCACGCAUUUUCCUUCCAAAAUACCCCAUUUAAACAAAAAUCACACUUUUCUCUUCGCAAAUCCCCCAUUUAAGCGAAAAUCACGCAUUUUCUCUUUGCAAAUCCCCCAAUUAACACAAAAAAACACGCAUUUUCUCUUCUCAAAUCCCCCAUUUAUGCGAAAAUCACGUGUUUUCUCUUCGCAAAUCCCCCAUUUAUGUGGAAAACACGUGUUUUCUCUUCGAAAAUCCCCCAUUUAACCCGAAAAUCGCACAUUUUCUUUGCAAAUCCCCAUUUA
rnacentral:lncRNA from 7 species